AUACGGAGGGGGCUAGCGUUGUUCGGAUUUACUGGGCGUAAGGGUGCGUAGGCGGUUGAAUAAGAUGUACGAGAAAGCUCACGGCUUAACUGCGAAAGUUCGCACAUGACUAUUUGACUAGAGAAUGGUAGAGGAAAGCGGAAUUCCCGGUGGAGCGGUGAAAUGCGUAGAUAUCGGGAGGAAGGCCUGUGGCGAAGGCGGCUUUCUGGACCUAUCCUGACGCUGAGGAGCGAAAGCGUGGGGAGCAAACCGUAUUAGAAACCCGAGUAGUCC
rnacentral:rRNA from 1 species